GUGGGGCAGGAAGCAGGCAGGGGCUCUACCCCUGGCCAGGCCCCAGCAACGUGCACCCCAACCGGCCUCGCCCAGCGCUGGCCGGGGAGAUGUGAGCGAUGGGGUGGCAGCAAGCGCCCCGUCCUGGCACCCGACAUUUUCUGUGUCAAAAUGACUUCCAAAGUACUCAAGGACUUUCCACCUCCUAGGUUAGCUAUGGUGACAAAACAACUGCACCGGAGGAAGCGGCACUUCCCAGCUAGUACACCUUCUGCAGUAUGAACCAGGCAGGCAGCGGUCCUGGUUUAUUUUUGUAAAGGCCUAUUGGUUUGUGAGUGCUAUAUAAGGAUUAAACCUGUCUGGGUCCCUGAGCACAAAGCCAUCUGACCAUCAGAAUAGUGUUCCAAGGAGGAGGAAAUUGGCCAUGGCGACAGUUUCAUGCACAGAGCGCUGGGUCUGAGCCAGGCCCUGUGCACGGUGCUUCACGCCAUCCUCACGUCAGCCUGGCCAGGAGGUGUCCCAAUUCCAGCACUGCUUAACGUGAAACUGCUCCUUAAAAGCAAGCAGGCAUAAUUAUAUUCUCUCUUGAACUAAAUUGCCCUCCCCCAGACUAACAAGAAAUGGUUCAAUUAAGUAGAAUGUUACCAACGCGGGACAUGUAACUGACGAAAGGUGCCUUUUCUCCCACAUGAGCGAGAAAAAUCUGGCUCCAAGACAUGUUGAGGAAUUAUGACGAUGAGAUCUGUAUUUUGAUGGACUUCUGGACAAAGUCUAAGUGCGUCUGCCUGCCCUUUUCCAGUCACUUGCUGCAGAGGAGAGGAGUUCAAAACCAGCGGCCUCCUCCAGAGUGGUAUCCGUGUGCAAAGCAGAUGAGGCUUGAGCUAUUCUACUUGGCCUGGGAAGGGUCCCAGCCUCACCCCACUCAGCACCCUCCCUCUCCCACAGCAGCCUUUUGGCCCCCUUUGUGGGACCCUCAUGCUUCCAGAAACCCAGUCUGAAAGCUGAAGACCUACAGAGCACUGGUAGCUCUCUUACCUAUUGUGGUUUUACUUGAGCGUCAAGAGUGAAGCACAGCCCAGAGAGCUACAUGACAGAAUCGUGUAAGACUUGAAAUAAAUGUGUUAUUUACAAUAUCGUAA